AGAUCAAAAAAGCUGAGCAAAUAAGUAAAAUUAUGUUUCUUAUAAUCGAUGAAGCCGACCGAAUAUUGGAGGCUAACUUUGAGGAAGACAUGGAGCAAAUAUUUAAGCGGCUGCCAAAGACAAGGCAAACUGCUCUAUUUACAGCUA